UGGGUACUACGGGACGCAGCAGUGAGGAAUAUUGGGCAAUGGAGGAAACUCUGACCCAGCCAUGCCGCGUGAGUGAAGAAGGUUUUCGAAUUGUAAAGCUCUUUCGGAUGUGAAGAUGAUGACGGUAACAUCUAAAGAAGCCCCGGCAAACUUCGUGCCAGCAGCCGCGGUAAUACGAAGGGGGCAAGCGUUGUUCGGAAUUACUGGGCGUAAAGGGUGUGUAGGCGGGAAAGUAAGAUAGUGGUGAAAUGCCUGAGCUCAACUUGGGAACUGCCAUUAUAACUAUUUUUCUAGAG
rnacentral:rRNA from 1 species